GAUGAACGCUAGCGGCAGGCCUAACACAUGCAAGUCGAGGGGCAGCAUUGAAUAGUUUACUAUUUAGAUGGCGACCGGCGCACGGGUGCGUAACGCGUAUGCAACCUACCUUGUACAGAGGGAUAGCCCGGAGAAAUUCGGAUUAAUACCUCAUAGUAUCUCACGACAGCAUUGCUGUGAGAUUAAAACUUUGGUGGUACAAGAUGGGCAUGCGUCCUAUUAGCUAGAUGGUGAGGUAAUGGCUCACCAUGGCAACGAUAGGUAGGGGGCCUGAGAGGGUGAUCCCCCACACUGGUACUGAGACACGGACCAGACUCCUACGGGAGGCAGCAGUGAGGAAUAUUGGUCAAUGGUCGGAAGACUGAACCAGCCAUACCGCGUGAAGGAUGAAGGUUCUAUGGAUUGUAAACUUCUUUUAUUUGGGAAUAAACCCCUCGACGUGUCGGGGGCUGAAGGUAUCAAAUGAAUAAGCACCGGCUAACUCCGUGCCAGCCGCCGCCGUAAAAC
rnacentral:rRNA from 1 species